UGCAAGUCGAGCGGACAGAUGGGAGCUUGCUCCCUGAUGUUAGCGGCGGACGGGUGAGUAACACGUGGGUAACCUGCCUGUAAGACUGGGAUAACUCCGGGAAACCGGGGCUAAUACCGGAUGCUUGAUUGAACCGCAUGGUUCAAUUAUAAAAGGUGGCUUUUAGCUACCACUUACAGAUGGACCCGCGGCGCAUUAGCUAGUUGGUGAGGUAACGGCUCACCAAGGCGACAAUGCGUAGCCAACCUGAGAGGGUGAUCGGCCACACUGGGACUGAAACACGGCCCAAACUCCUACGGGAGGCAGCAGUAGGGAAUCUUCCGCAAUGGACAAAAGUCUGACGGAGCAACGCCGCGUGAGUGAUGAAGGUUUUCGGAUCGUAAAACUCUGUUGUUAGGGAAAAACAAGUACCGUUCGAAUAGGGCGGUACCUUGACGGUACCUAACCAAAAAGCCACGGCUAACUACGUGCCAGCAGCCGCGGUAAUACGUAGGUGGCAAGCGUUGUCCGGAAUUAUUGGGCGUAAAGCGCGCGCAGGCGGUUUCUUAAGUCUGAUGUGAAAGCCCCCGGCUCAACCGGGGAGGGUCAUUGGAAACUGGGGAACUUGAGUGCAGAAGAGGAGAGUGGAAUUCCACGUGUAGCGGUGAAAUGCGUAGAGAUGUGGAGGAACACCAGUGGCGAAGGCGACUCUCUGGUCUGUAACUGACGCUGAGGCGCGAAAGCGUGGGGAGCGAACAGGA
rnacentral:rRNA from 1 species